rnacentral:rRNA from 1 species
GACGAACGCUGGCGGCGGGCUUAACACAUGCAAGUCGAACGGAAAGGCCCUGCUUUUGUGGGGUGCUCGAGUGGCGAACGGGUGAGUAACACGUGAGUAACCUGCCCUUGACUGUGGGAUAACUUCAGGAAACUGGGGCUAAUACCGGAUAGGAGCUCCUGCUGCAGGGUGGGGGUUGGAAAGUUUCGGCGGUGGGGGAUGGACUCGGGGCUUAUCAGCUUGUUGGGGGGGUAGUGGCUUACCAUGGCUUUGACGGGUAGCCGGCAUGGGAGGGUGGACGCCGUCCUUGCGCCUGCGAUACGGCCCAGACUGCUACGGGGGGCAGCAGUGGGGAAUAUUGCACAGUGGGGGGGCGCCUGAUGCAGCGGCCCCGCGUGCGUGAUGAAGUCUUUCGGGUUGUAAACCGCUUUAGGUUGUGGCGAAGCGUGAGUGACGGUAAUGGGUAAAGAAGCACCGGCUAACUACGUG